ACAUGCUGUUCCAUUUUCUUGCUUUAAAAAGAUGGAAGGUUAAUCUAAAGAGCCUUGCAGAAUUGGAAAAAUAAGGGGGAGGGGAUUCUACCCACACAAUCCUCUGGCCCACCGCAAAGGAGCUCAAAGCUUGCUGACGUCACACAUUCAUGAAUGGAUGUAAAUUGGGCUGGUUUAGGAUUCCGCACAGACUUAGUGGCUGUGUGUGCUGUGAAGGAAAAGGUUGGGGGGAGGGAGAGGGAGGGCCCAGAGAAUGCCCAGCCAAUAGGCUUCAGGCAGGUAUGGCCAGCCCUCUUUUAGAAAGAAUCUGGUCACAGAAUAAACAGAGCCCGCCAAUCAGACAUCUAUCACAGACCAGCAGAGCCACACAGCGCAGAGAGAGAGAGAGAGAGAGAGAGAGAGAGAGAGAGAGAGAGAGAGAGAGAGAGAGAAGAGAAGAGAAGAGAAGAGAAGAGAAGAGAGAGAGAAGAGAGAGAGAGAGAGAGAGAGAACUCAAGUGUGACAACCAUAAACACAUUGUUCUUGCUAUUGAAUGAAGGAGUCAAAGUGGAAGUUUAGAAGGAUCAAUGCUCCCAAAGG
rnacentral:lncRNA from 1 species